GCGAGAGGGUUAUGCGCGCGUGCGGAUCUCAGUUGUGCCCGGGCAUUUAUACACACUGAGAAAUGCAGUUGGUUUGUGAAUUCGCCAGGCGUUAUGGUGGUGGCGAUAAACACACCUUUGGCAUCACCAAACUAUUGGUGUGUGUGUGUGUAUGUGUGUGUGCAUUACCCUACUAUGUUGUCUCGCAACACUGCACCUGACCAGACCGCCGCUAAAUUCCUUAUUCAGGUCAAUAAUUUCAGGUGCACUGCUGCUGGUACCGUGGAAUUUCUCAGGAGCAAUUACAUAUCAUUUAUUUCUCUGAAAGACAUCUCAUUACUGACAAAUUAACGUUCCAACCUGAUGGCCCAAAUUGUGGUUGAGAUACCCGGCAAACGUCAAACACCACACAUCCCUACUACAGAUGGUGAUCAUUGGGAGGAGAAAAAGAUAUAUAUAUUCCGUGGAGUAGUUGAAAAAGGCCCAGUGAUUUUGGGUCAGUAGUUCUCCAGAAGCGAUGAAAAACUUGUCGCGUUAAAUUUUCGAAAUAUCUCGGUGACUAUCGAGUCGAAACGACUGUUCCUCUUUCAAAGUCAAAACCAAGUUCACGUUUGAAUACAUUGCCCUCCUAAAGACGGAGAGUUGUUCAUGAAUAAAGAACAAUGUGACUUGAGUUAAAUUGAUAAUACCUCGUUCCAGCGAUAUUUCCGUGUUAUCGAAAAUAAAUCUCGACAUUUCCCAGGAAGAGGUGGAGAGAGAAGAGGGAUAAAUGACGAGGAAAAAAAAAAAGGAGAAAUGGAUAAGACGCCGAACGGAGGAUGAGGAGGAAGAGACUCGUUUAAUGACCCUGUUUGUGCUUGGCCCCAAAGUUCAUCAACUUCAGACGCAAUGGAAAUGCGCCUCCUCGAUAUUAUUCUCUCCACCUCCCCCUUUCGAAACCAGAAGAUUCCACUUGGCCAGUGAUUGCAACUUGUCCCAAAAAAGGAGAAAACAAUUUCGAGGAUAAUUGCAGUGACCAAGGCCGAAAUCACAUGGUAUGAACUCCUCGGUCAGGAGCAACAGACGGGCGGCAAUAUUUAUCAGUAUGAAGGAGGGGGGAAGCCCAAUUAAAUGUAAGCGGUGCCGGAUGAAGAAUGCGAUUCGUUCGUUCCGUUCUGGAUAUCUCUCCCCGCGAAAAGAAGCCACUCCGUUGAAAUAAGUGCACAAUGUAUGUGUCU